rnacentral:lncRNA from 1 species
CUGUGGGCCUUUAUUUAUGGGCAAAGACUGAAGAGCCCUGAGAAGAAAGAAAAAUCAGGUGAUUAGCCUUGACUUAUUGGGCGAGAUAUGCCUAUUAUCUUCUUCCUUAUCUGUUCUGUGGUCAGCUGUCAUGUCAUGAUUAUUUAAAUUUAAAAAGAGAUACGGGAUUUUUAGAUCAGGUAGGGUUCGACAAGAGGACCUCAGAUCGACCGACGGUAUGGCUGGUAGGGGUGU